UACGUAGGGGGCAAGCGUUGUCCGGAUUUAUUGGGCGUAAAGAGCGUGUAGGCGGCCAAGCAGGUCCGCUGUGAAAACUCGAGGCUCAACCUCGAGACGUCGGUGGAAACCGUUUGGCUAGAGUCCGGAAGAGGAGAAUGGAAUUCCUGGUGUAGCGGUGAAAUGCGCAGAUAUCAGGAAGAACACCCGUGGCUAAGGCGGUUCUCUAGUACGGUACUGACGCUGAGACGCGAAAGCGUGGGGAGCGAACAGG
rnacentral:rRNA from 1 species